GAUGAACGCUGGCGGCGUGCCUAAUACAUGCAAGUCGAGCGAACAGAUGAGGCGCUUGUUCCGCUGACGUUAGCGGCGCACGGGUGAGUAACACGUGUAUAACCUACUUAUAAGACUGGGAUAACUUCGGGAAACCGGAGCUAAUACGGGAUAAUAUAUUGAACCGCAGGGGUCAAUAGUGAAAGUCGGUUUUGCUGUCACGUAUAGAUGCAUCUGCGCCGCAUUAGCUAGUUGUUAAGGUAACGGGUUACCAAGGGGACGAUGCGUAGCCGACCUGAGAGAGUGAUAGGCCACACUAGAACUGAGACGCGGUCCAGGCUCCUGCGAGACGGCGCAGUCGGGGAUCUGACGCAAUGGGGGAGAACCUGACGGAGCAACGCCAAGUGAGAGAUGAAGGUCUUCGGAUCGUAAAACUCUGUUAUUAGGGGAGAACAGAUGUGGCAGUAACUGUGCACGGCUUGACGGUACCUAGUAAGGAAGCCCCGGCUAACUACGUG
rnacentral:rRNA from 1 species